GAUGAACGCUGGCGGCGUGCUUAACACAUGCAAGUCGAACGAAGCAUCCAAGAUUGAGACUUCGGUGGAUAGAUUGGAUGACUGAGUGGCGGACGGGUGAGUAACGCGUGGGCAACCUGCCUCGUACAGGGGGACAACAGUUGGAAACGACUGCUAAUACCGCAUAAGCGCACAGCUUCGCAUGAAGCAGUGUGAAAAACUGAGGUGGUACGAGAUGGGGCCCGCGUUGGAUUAGGUAGUUGGUGGGGUAACGGCCUACCAAGCCGACGAUCCAUAGCCGACCUGAGAGGGUGACCGGCCACAUUGGGACUGAGACACGGCCCAA
rnacentral:rRNA from 1 species